CUAUGGGGUCAGCGUAUCCCGUGGUCAAUCCGCAGGGAGAUCUCUUCGAAGUCCGAGCAGCUGGCUGCAUGGGAAAGCCCGCAGGCGUCGGACGACCAUCCAGAAUUCUGCUAGUACGAUCAUUGUUGUGAAACAAUUUUGGGAAACCCCGGAAAUCUCCUUUAUAUUUUAUAAGUUGACAUUCCCAUUGUGCUCCAGACUCUUAAGUAAUUCAUGGGAAACAGUUUUCAUCGUGACGUAAGAAGAAUCUCACAGUGUGCCACGCGUCGCUCUGUCUCUCCGCGGUUGCGUUAUAGCUUGCAAGGAAGGAUAAGCGUGGGCAAUGAUUUCCUGUUCGUGUGUCAACUGUGCAACAAUUCGGAUGUGGUAAACGUUCAAAGCCUUUUAACGUACAUAUUUGAGCAGAGGUGUGCGCAUCGCCGAGAAUCCGCGGUUGUGAGGGGAACCCUCGAGAAGUUCUUGUCUCAUUAUUAGUCAUGAUCAGGGACCACGAAGAGAAUCGGUUGAACGAUCUUUAGAUGAAAAACCGGUGAACUCGAUCAGUUCGAGAGGAAGAAAGGAUAGUUUUUGAUCAACUCAACGCUGUUUGAAAAGGGCAGACUAUGCAUCAGCUCCCACAGCGCUUCAUGUCGGGCAAUCAGUGAUGGAGAAACAGAAAUAUGAUUUGGGCUGCAUAAAAUUAGGCACUAAGAAGGGAUAAAGGGGUGAAAAUAAAUUGGACCAUCGAAAAUCCGAGGACAGGAACUUACCAACCUCGGAACAACGCCGUACAGCAUCUGAAACACGAGGCUCGUCGGUGCAUCUUUAAGAUUCGCAUGUGCGGGCAUCGAAUGAUAAUACAUACAUAAUUUAUCAUGUAGCCAUAGAUCAUAUACUUUCUAGAAUAAUUAAAAUGUAAAUCUGAUUGAAAACUUGCGUCAUUUUCAUUAUAUCACAUUUAUUGUAAGAAUAAAUUUUUGAGAAUGUUUAAAAUUAUACUGUACAAAAUAAUGUAU
rnacentral:lncRNA from 1 species